GAUGAACGCUAGCGGCAGGCCUAACACAUGCAAGUCGAACGGUAACAGGGAUUGCUUGCAAUCCGCUGACGAGUGGCGCACGGGUGCGUAACGCGUAUAGAACCUACCCUUUACAGGGGGAUAGCCCGGAGAAAUCCGGAUUAAUACCCCAUAGUAAUACUUUGUGGCAUCACAGAGUGUUUAAAGCUUCGGUGGUAGAGGAUGGCUAUGCGUCUUAUUAGCUAGUAGGUGAGGUAACGGCUCACCUAGGCUACGAUAAGUAGGGGCCCUGAGAGGGGGAUCCCCCACACUGGUACUGAGACACGGACCAGACUCCUACGGGAGGCAGCAGUGAGGAAUAUUGGACAAUGGUCGAGAGACUGAUCCAGCCAUGCCGCGUGCAGGAAGACGGCCCUACGGGUUGUAAACUGCUUUUGUACGGGAAGAAUAAUGCCCACGUGUGGGCAGAUGACGGUACCGUACGAAUAAGGACCGGCUAACUCCG
rnacentral:rRNA from 1 species